AUCCGGAUGACGAGUGCCAAAUGGGACGAAAUGCGCAUCCUAGAU
rnacentral:hammerhead_ribozyme from 1 species